CUCGUAGGCGGUGUGUCGCGUCGGCCGUGAAAACCUGCAGCUUAACUGUGGGCUUGCGGUCGAUACGGGCAUCACUGGAGUUCGGCAGGGGAGACUGGAAUUCCUGGUGUAGCGGUGAAAUGCGCAGAUAUCAGGAGGAACACCGGUGGCGAAGGCGGGUCUCUGGGCCGAUACUGACGCUGAGGAGCGAAAGCGUGGGAGCGAACA
rnacentral:rRNA from 1 species